rnacentral:rRNA from 1 species
GACGAACGCUGGCGGCGUGCUUAACACAUGCAAGUCGUACGGUAAGGCCCUUUCGGGGGUACACGAGUGGCGAACGGGUGAGUAACACGUGAGUAACCUGCCCACAACUUUGGGAUAACGCUAGGAAACUGGUGCUAAUACUGGAUAUGUGCUCCUGCUGCAUGGUGGGGGUUGGAAAGCUCCGGCGGUUGUGGAUGGACUCGCGGCCUAUCAGCUUGUUGGUGGGGUAGUGGCCUACCAAGGCGGCGACGGGUAGCCGGCCUGAGAGGGUGACCGGCCACAUUGGGACCGAAGAUAGGCCCAGGCCCCCACGGGGGGCCGCAGGUGGGAAAAAUGGAACAAGGGGGCAAGGCUGAUGCCACAACGGCGCGGGCGGGAUGAAGGGCUUCGGGUUGGAAACCGCUUUCAGCAGGGACGAAGCUUUUUGUGACGGUACCUGCAGAAGAAGCACCGGCUAACUACGUG